rnacentral:rRNA from 1 species
CUGAACAUUCAUGCCAACCCGAACAAGUCUGAUCCCAUCUGAUGAUCUUGGAACCUAAGCAGGGUCAGCCUGGUUAGUACUUGGAUGGGAGACCACCUAGGAAGACCAGGUGCUGUAGGCA